rnacentral:lncRNA from 1 species
GAAAGGAACUAGAAAGUCACUCAAAGAUGAUAUAAUAUUGAACUAGAAUGGCUAUUGUUAAAAACAAGAAAACUAGAAAGUCUUUGAACAAAACUAAGGACUAGAAAGGCGUUGAUAAGAGUGAAGAAAGCUUCACUCUUGCUUCCAUAUAUACACUUAACUAAGAGCUAUGUGGUGAUGUCCUAUAGGACCUCCAAAACGUGUUGAAUUUGCAAGACAUGUAUCUU